GUUUUCUGAUGAUGUGAACAGUGAUGGCUGACUCAAACUCUGGGAUCUGUCGUCGUCUCGGUCCCUUUGAGCUUCUCUAUCGAUUUGCCGCUGUUUUGGAUCAUUGAUCGGAUGAUGACCCAGUUCAGGUCAAGCUGCCUCACAGAUGGACCACACUAGUAGUUGGUGGCAGAGUCCUGGCUGCGUAACGCCUUGGAAGAAGCCUGUCGGACGCUCCAGACGGUUUCUGAUGCGCUCAGAAGUAACUUCACAAACUGAGCUGCAUCUUUCUUUGGAGACAAAUUGUGUUUUCUGUGGGCAGAAGAUUAAUUUCUAAUGAACUACUGCCGCUCUGCAGAAACGAUGUCCUAGACGACAGUUAUUGGAUUUAACCUAAAACAGCAUCAUCAUAAUUGGACGACCACUGGAAAAACUGUAAAAAAAUGGAUCAAAAGAUGAUUAAAGGGGGACUUUAAGGACACAGUGACACAAAGGCAGGUGAAAUGGGAACCAAACCACCUACUUUAUGUCCCAGCAACAGGCAGACGUCUGGAUCCAAUUGGAGCAAGUUUAUUAGCUCAGCUAAAGGUCCACAAAGCUAAAUCAGGGUCAGACAGGGGUCAACGGUGAGCAUGGAAGCAUCAGAGAAGACAAAGGAGUAGUCAGGAUCCAGGCGAGAGUCGGGGCAGGCGGCAGGCAGAGUCAGAAACAAGGUCAGGAGACGGAGGAUCAGGUCUGGAUGUAACGCUCGGUAAAGCUCAGCUGAUGUAAGCCCAUUGAGAUGACUUGUUGCAAAUAUUGGGAUACAUAAAUAAAAAUCAAUUGAAUUGAAUUGAAGAGGGCAGAGUGUCACAGACAAUACUUUGCACUGAGUGAGGCUCGGUGCAGUGCUGAAGUAGACUGUAAGGGAUUGCAAAUGAGAGUCAGGUGUGUGGCAUCCAGAAACUGCACUGGGGUUGCUGGGAGAUGAAGUGCACUCAGAUCUCUGGAGACAGUUUCCACCGAUGACCAGAGGGGAAGACAGAGUUCUAACUUCUGAGACUUUCCAAGGUCGACCACAUUUCCCCUGUUCCACAGCUAUUGACUGUAUACGAGGACUGGACUGAGCGAGUGCGUUGUCUCCCAUAGAAAAUGCCUUAAUCUGGCUCCUGCCAAAUGAAGCCAGUUCAGCUGCCAUUUUUCCACAAUUCGGAUCGCCAUGUUGGAGCCAGACCACUGUGAUUGGUCAGAGUCUGUCUAAAUCAACAUUUCUGUGGCAAUGUUGGGAGCAUGCUGGAAGUCCACACCUUUUCCACUGAAAGCAGCUCUGCAGAAUCUGUCAAUCAAACAUUUGAGGUGGGGGCCAGUGGGCACCACAUGCUUUUAUUGAGGCAUCUGAUUGGUCAGUUUAUCACUUGAUUAACUUGAACUACGAAACAAUAUCAUGAUAAAAAAUAGAGUAUUAUCAAGAAGACGUUAAAAAAAGUAUCAGAGCCAGAACGCUUCUUCUGACCAAUAGAACAACUGAGUAACAGCUGUUUACUUCUGCAUAGAAGUCUAUGGGAUUUUGGCUUCUUGGAGCCAGCAGGUGCUUCCUGUUUGGAACGCCAGGGGGAGGGGCCACUAAGUCCAGUUCUCGUAUACGGUUAAUGGGCAAUCGGAAAAACUUUGGCACUAGUUGCUGUUGGAAGUCUUUGGCUGUAUCCAAAUUCCCACCCUAACCCCUAACUACCAAAACACUAUCGUGUGAGACGAUGAACUUCAUCUUUUAUCUCAGAUGUCAGAGAAUAAUGAAGGCAGUGUAAAGGGCAGUUUUUACAUCUCUGUAACAUUUUCCAGUUUUGAAAAAGUGAACUAAUUAGUAUUUAAUUGUUCAUUUAGACUGUGGUCAUGAUGUAACUGUGUUUUUUGGUCCGUACGUGUUGCCCGUUCAAACAAAACAUUCAAAAGGCGUUUAGUGAGGGGGUUACAGUGGAAGACAUAAAUAACCUAAAGCAAUUUAGUUAAUGAUGUGAGGGCAAAUGAAAACAUUUAAUCCUUCAUCCCAAGAAUAUAUACACAAAGAUGCACUUCCAUACCAUACCAUGCAUCCCUUUUCCAUACCUACUAUGGUAUGGUAAAUCUUUGCUUCAUGCUUUUGCUUUGACCUCGACUUGAGUAGAUUUGGGGCAAAGUGGAAUUUCCCUCCUCCAACAAAUCAGUCUUUACUCAUGUUCUAGAAAUCUUUGUUGAUUUUAAGAUGAGAUGUUUUUUUAUUUCCUUUAUUUGAUAAACGAAUCAAAACAAAUUUCUUUGGUCACUUGACUCCUACCUGGAAGCAGAGUCCCCCCACCCCCCAGUAAAGAACAACAUGAAUCCAAGGGGUGAGCCAUGACCCCACCCCCCACCCCCAUACCAUCUUUAUGCAGUUGGGCUGAAACUCCAGCAUCCAAAGACGAUUAGGUUACAUUUUUAUUUAUUUUAUUAAAGAAAUAAAGAGUUUAACUCUUUCAUCUUUUACUAGAUAUGACUUUUGUUCCUUCGAAUCCUUAAACCUUUCCAGAUAUUCCAGGAUUUUUGCCUCCAUUGAAACACAACUUGGUGCAGGAGCUCGCUGGUUUGAUACCCGGCUCUGCCAUUUUUCACAACCAUAUGUUUUUUUUGUUAUUGUGCUAUUUUCACUUUCUUUAUGGUGAACUUUGAUCACUUCUUUAUUUCUUUAUUGCCAAUUGUGAUCAUUUUCAUUCAGAGCAUCAACCUGUAGUUUCCUCUGGAAAAGCAGCUCCUUCUAGAUAAAAGUUCUGAUUCUU